GGUUUGAUUGGCUCAGAUUGAACGCUGGCGGGAUGCUUUACACAUGCAAGUCGAACGGCAGCACGGACUUCGGUCUGGUGGUGAGUGGCGAACGGGUGAGUAAUGUAUCGGAACGUGCCUAGUAGCGGGGAUAACUACGCGAAAGCGUAGCUAAUACCGCAUACGCCCUUCGGGGGAAAGCGGGGGGACCUUCGGGCCUCGCACUAUUAGAGCGGCCGAUAUCGGAUUAGCCAGUUGGUGGGGCAGUGUCGGCUCACCAAGGCGACGAUCCGUAGCUGGUUUGAGAGGACGACCAGCCACACUGGGACUGAGACACGGCCCAGACUCCUACGGGAGGCAGCAGUGGGGAAUUUUGGACAAUGGGGGAAACCCUGAUCCAGCCAUCCCGCGUGUGCGAUGAAGGCCUUCGGGUUGUAAAGCACUUUUGGCAGGAAAGAAACGGCACGGGAUAAUACCCCGUGCAACUGACGGUACCUGCAGAAUAAGCACCGGCUAACUACGUGCCAGCAGCCGCGGUAAUACGUGUAGGUGCAAGCGUUAAUCGGAAUUACUGGGCGUAAAGCGUGCGCAGGCGGUUCGGGAAGAAAGAUGUGAAAUCCCAGAGCUUAACUUUGGAACUGCAUUUUUAACUACCGAGCUAGAGUGUGUCAGAGGGAGGUGGAAUUCCGCGUGUAGCAGUGAAAUGCGUAGAUAUGCGGAGGAACACCGAUGGCGAAGGCAGCCUCCUGGGAUAACACUGACGCUCAUGCACGAAAGCGUGGGGAGCAAACAGGAUUAGAUACCCUGGUAGUCCACGCCCUAAACGAUGUCAACUAGCUGUUGGGGCCUUCGGGCCUUGGUAGCGCAGCUAACGCGUGAAGUUGGGACCGCCUGGGGAGUACGGUCGCAAGAUUAAAACUCAAAGUGAAUUGACGGGGACUCCGCACAAGCGGUGGAUGAUGUGGAUUAAUUCGAUGCAACGCGAAAAACCUUACCUACCCUGAUAUGUCUGGAAUCCCGAAGAGAUUUGGGAGUGCUCGCAAGAGAACCGGAACACAGGUGCUGCAUGUAUUGCCGUCAGGGGCUCGUGUUGUGAGAUGUUGGGUUAAGUCCCGCAACGAGCGCAACCCUUGGUCAUUAGUUGCUACGAAAGGGCACUCUAAUGAGACUGCCGGUGACAAACCGGAGGGGAAGGUGGGGAUGACGUCGGUAAGUCCUCAUGGCCUCUAUGGGUAGGGCUUCACACGUCAUACAAUGGUCGGGACAGAGGGUCGCCAACCCGCGAGGGGGAGCCAAUCCCAGAAACCCGAUCGUAGUCCGGAUCGCAGUCUGCAACUCGACUGCGUGAAGUCGGAAUCGCUAGUAAUCGCGGAUCAGCAUGUCGCGGUGAAUACGUUCCCGGGUCUUGUACACACCGCCCGUCAGCACUAUGGAGUGGGUUUUACCAGAAGUAGUUAGCCUAACCGUAAGGAGGGCGAUUACCACGGUAGAUUCAUGACUGGGUGAAGUCGUAACAAGGUAA
rnacentral:rRNA from 1 species